GACAUAUCACAUUGAAACACCGGUUCUCCUCCGAACACCGAAGUUAAACAACGACGAUUCUGGUCAAUACCUAGAUGGGUGACCGCUAGGAAAUACUAGUUACUGUAAU